UAACUACUCCCUCCGUCCAGAAUUACUUGUCAUCAAAAUGGAUGUAUCUAGAACUAAAAUACAUCUAGGUACAUCCAUUUCAAUGACAAGUAUUUCCGGACGGAGGGAGUAUAUG
rnacentral:pre_miRNA from 1 species